GGUGAGAGCAGGCCGUGAAGAGUAGACACGACUGAUGACUUCAGGGAUGCUACGACUUUCUCUCCUGCCUGGGCAAGCCUCGGUGUCCGCCCCAGUCCUACACCCACUUCAUGCCUUCUGUGAGAAGCUGCCUCCACACCUCAGCCCAGACUGAGCCAAUCAGGACAUUCCAUUCCCCUGGCCACAGUGAUGGGCUCAGGAAUUGGCCUGUGCCCCAAGGCAGGGCAGUCAGACACGGCGAGGCUUCGUUCGGAGACUUUGACUUGACCUGUUUGGGAAUUUGCUAGACUUGAAUGUGAGAUGAGAGUCCAGAAGAGAGCUUACCUGAGGAUGGAGCCAAACAGAACAAGAAAACCCCAGGGAGGGACCCUGCCCUUGAAGACCUUAGUCUAGUGGAGGAGACACCUGUUAAUAGGGGUAAAGGUGACAGUGAGUGUGACAGCUCAGAGCAUGGGGCAGCAUAAUCAGGAUGCCCCUGGGGGCACUUGCAGCGGGCUGGGCUAUUCAUGUGGUCGUUUCUAUUUUUGCCUCUUGGAAUUGAAUUCUGCUGGGAGGCAGCCAGUGAGGUCCAAAGUCCUCCUCAAGGUUGUUGGAUUGUUUGAUGAUUGACUCCCCACCCCUGUUCCCAGUAGCUGCAACUUCCCAGGCCCUUGCAUUGCCAGAGCUCCCUGGCUCUUCUCUCUAAUCAGGCUCCCAGCCUCACUGGGGGCUGAUUAAGACAUUUCCUGUCCUUCCCCAAUCUUGGAGUCUUGCUAAGAUCCUCCUGACAAGCUUCUCCUGCCUCCAGCCUGCCUUUCCACAACCUUCUCCCAUCUGCUGCCAGAGAAGCUAAGACACAAGUCUGAUCAUGCCACCCUCCUACUUCAAAACCUCCACUAACUCCCUGAGGCCUCAGAAUCAAGUCCAAACUCCUAACAUGACCCGGAGGUCUUUCACAGAGUGGUCCCAACUUACCUCUUGUUCCUGGCCACUUCCCACCACACUGUUGAGCCAAGCACAUGGCCAUUCUUGUCAUUUCCUGUAUAAGUCAUGGCCUUUAAUGCCCCCGUGCCUCAGCAUGUGCUGGUCUCGUUGCUGGACAUAGAAAUGAUCUUCCCUCCUGUACAUCCUUGAGGACCCAACUCACACAUCCCCUCUUUGAAGCCUUCUGCAGGAAGUACCUUAUUCAUACCUCGGUUACAUUAUAUUUAGCUUAUUGUUUAAGGACACAGACUGGCUCAAAAUAGGUGCUCAGUUAAGAUUAAAUAAAUGGGUAGGCCGGG
rnacentral:sRNA from 1 species